AUUGAACGCUGGCGGCAGGCCUAACACAUGCAAGUCGAGCGGUAGAGAGAAGCUUGCUUCUCUUGAGAGCGGCGGACGGGUGAGUAAUGCCUAGGAAUCUGCCUGGUAGUGGGGGAUAACGUUCGGAAACGGACGCUAAUACCGCAUACGUCCUACGGGAGAAAGCAGGGGACCUUCGGGCCUUGCGCUAUCAGAUGAGCCUAGGUCGGAUUAGCUAGUUGGUGGGGUAAUGGCUCACCAAGGCGACGAUCCGUAACUGGUCUGAGAGGAUGAUCAGUCACACUGGAACUGAGACUCGGUCCAGACUCCUACGGGAGGCAGAAGUGGGGAAUAUUGGACAAUGGGCGAAAGCCUGAUCCAGCCAUGCCGCGUGUGUGAAGAAGGUCUUCGGAUUGUAAAGCACUUUAAGUUGGGAGGAAGGGCAGUAAAUUAAUGCUUUGCUGUUUUGACGUUACCGACAGAAUAAGCACCGGCUAACUCUGUGCCAGCAGCCGCGGUA
rnacentral:rRNA from 1 species